rnacentral:miRNA from 14 species
UCUGUGGUACUAGGCACACAGGUUGUAUGUGUGUAUGUGUGUGUGUGUGUGUGUGUGUGUGUGUAUAUACAUACACACACACACACACACAUACACAUAUACAUAUACAUAUAC